GACGAACGCUGGCGGCGUGCUUAACACAUGCAAGUCGAACGGUAAGGCCCUUCGGGGUACACGAGAGGCGAACGGGUGAGUAACACGUGGGUGAUCUGCCCUGCACUUCGGGAUAAGCCUGGGAAACUGGGUCUAAUACCGGAUAGGACCACUGCCUGCAUGGGUGGUGGUGGAAAGCUUUUGCGGUGUGGGAUGGGCCCGCGGCCUAUCAGCUUGGUGGUGGGGUGAUGGCCUACCAAGGCGACGACGGGUAGCCGGCCUGAGAGGGUGACCGGCCACACUGGGACUGAGAUACGGCCCAGACUCCUACGGGAGGCAGCAGUGGGGAAUAUUGCACAAUGGGCGCAAGCCUGAUGCAGCGACGCCGCGUGAGGGAUGACGGCCUUCGGGUUGUAAACCUCUUUCAGCACCGACGAAGCGCAAGUGACGGUAGGUGCAGAAGAAGGACCGGCCAACUACGUGCCAGCAGCCGCAGUAA
rnacentral:rRNA from 1 species